AUUGAACGCUGGCGGCAUGCCUUACACAUGCAAGUCGAACGGCAGCAUAGGAGCUUGCUCCUGAUGGCGAGUGGCGAACGGGUGAGUAAUAUAUCGGAACGUGCCCUAGAGUGGGGGAUAACUAGUCGAAAGACUAGCUAAUACCGCAUACGAUCUACGGAUGAAAGUGGGGGAUCGCAAGACCUCAUGCUCCUGGAGCGGCCGAUAUCUGAUUAGCUAGUUGGUGGGGGAAAAGCCUACCAAGGCAACGAUCAGUAGCUGGUCUGAGAGGACGACCAGCCACACGUGGACUGAGACACGGCCCAGACUCCUACGGGAGGCAGCAGUGGGGAAUUUUGGACAAUGGGGGCAACCCUGAUCCAGCAAUGCCGCGUGAGUGAAGAAGGCCUUCGGGUUGUAAAGCUCUUUUGUCAGGGAAGAAACGGUAGUAGCUAAUAUCUAUUACUAAUGACGGUACCCGAAGAAUAAGCACCGGCUAACUACGUGCCAGCCGCCGCCGUAA
rnacentral:rRNA from 1 species